CCUGGCACAUCGGCCCCAUGUACACUGAAGGGACACCAGUCCGUGCCUGGGCACCUGUCCUUUUUGCUGCCUGGCAUGUCCCUGGUGAGGAGCAGAAUGUUAAGAUGCUGGACCUUGACUUCCUAAGCCUUGGUCAUCAGUCAGGAACCUCUUAAAGUUCCUUUGGAGAGAAUCAGGAGACUGCUGAAAUGAGAGCUGGGCGAGUCUUACAAGCAAGAUCUUCUAGAAAGCCUCAAUUAGAAUAAAACAACAACAGCAACAACAAUAGUUAUAGGUGAGUUGUGGAAAUUCAGGUUUAAAAUUAUUUUAGAAUUUUUCAACACUGCUCCUUUUUUCGUAUAACAAGAACGCUGCAGCCCAGACAGGACAUUUAUACUCAUUAUUUAAUGCGUGAAAACAAGUGCAGACUGUCCGCCCUCCACCAGCUCUCGGGUUAGUUCAUGCCAGCCCUGGGAGUGGGGAAAAGGUGUUCGUAUUAAUCUUUUCCUAUUUCUGUGCUCGCAGAGGAUCCUUUGAAAUGCAAGUUAUCGCUCAGGGCCCUGCAUUUGUGAGAAAAAUAUUUUGGAGUCCGACAGAAACGUGGUAACAGUAGUCAUUUUCCCGUGACGACGUGAGACAGCACGUGUGAAGCACACAGCAGUGUCUGAUGCAGUGUGUGCUCAGUAAACGACACAAUUACAGUAUUCCUCGGUAUCCAGUACCCUUGGGGGGAUGGCUCCAGGACCCCCAGGGGACCAAAUCCUGUGGAUGUUCAAGUCCCUGAUAAAAAACGGUGUAGGAUUUGCACAUAACCUACACACAUCCUCCCGUAUACUUUAAAUCAUUCUCCAGAUGACAUAUAAUACCUAAUACAAUGUGAAUGCUAUGUAGUUAUACCGUAUUUAAAAAAAUUGUAUUAUUAUUAUUAUU